UAUUUUUAGCUAUCAGACAAACUGCUGGAGAGAAGCAACAUGGAAAAGGAGAUAAGGUAUCUGCUGUGGAGAAGGAAAAAUUGCUCCUGGCAGGAACUGUGAAAUGCGGUAUUAUCGCAGCUUGGCACGAGGACAGCCAGAGGCAGCACACAUACUCAACAGCAAGGAGCUCAAGCCACUUCCUAGGGAUUUUAAGACAAACAUUGGGUCUGCUUGGUAUGACGCCAAACAGAUGGGAGACUCAACGUUAAGUGACCUGAGCACGGCUGUCUGAGAUACAGCUGAGAAUUGUACCUAGAUCUUCCAAGCUUCAGUCCAGCGCCUUCGCUCCGAUACCAUCUUUCCUACUGAACAAACUGCACAGAGCUCCUUUCAGACUGCUUUGAGGGCCCAAUCCUGUGACAUACUCAGGACAUCACGGGAUUGUAAAAGAAACUCUUCUAGGGCCCAGAGAUGUACAUUUCAUUUAUUUGCUUUUGGAGUGUGGAACCUGGUGCCCCUGAUAGAAUUACCAACUGGCUUUGUGUAAUGCUGUUUAGGAUGUGCUAGACUGCUCCAUCUGUGCAGUUUAUGUAAAUCUCUGCCAGAAUUAAAAGUAUGACACUACAAAAUCA